rnacentral:lncRNA from 1 species
UAUGCAGGUUUAUGAGCCUAACUAUAAUUUAUUGAUAAAAACACAAUAAUUCAAUUCUCAAUUUCUGCCUUUCAAAUUCUCCCAUAAUACUAAUAUGCCAUGUGUACAGCAUGUACUAUAAUGCACAAAACAAUCUACUGCAUUAAGUGAAACAGAAUGAGAAGCACACAAGAAUGUCAUAAAAACUUGGCUUUUAUUAUAAAACUUCAGAAUUGGACAACUUGUCCUAAAUGCAAUUCAAGUAAAUACAAUGUAAAUAUGCCUCUCCUUGUAGUAUGGGGUAGGAAGAGCUAAAAUAAAUAAAUCAACUUUCUUCACUUUCCAUUUUUAAAAAUCACUUUUCUGACAAACUGAAUUAAUUUUUGGCUAUAACCAACUGAUUACAAUUAGACAGUUAUCAUUCGUUUUUCAUAACACAGCCUGCAAUCUAUCUUCUCCAAAAUAUCUGUUAUCCUCUCUCAAAACACAAUUUAGGACAUGCAAUGUUAAGAUAAGGGACCAAGUAUGUUCUUAGCUCUGUGGCUCAAACAAGCUAAGGAACUAAUAAAAUCCCUGACCAUAUGGCAUAUAUGCAAAGACUGUUUUUAAAAGUAGCCAGGUGCAGUAGCUCACACCUGCAAUCAUUUU